CGCCCGAUACAGCUAAUUAUAUUAAUCGAGGGCGUUAAUGCAAUGCAAAUUAUGAUCAAUAUGAGUAUAUAAACUGGGCUCAGAUCGGUUGGUAGGUAUAGUUUUGUGUCAGCAGUCAUACAAAGCAGCUUUCAAAAUGUUCAAAUUGUUGGUCUUGGUAUUCGCCGUACUUUUCGCCGUAGCGAUGGCAGCCCCCGAACCGGAAGCUAAGCCGCAAUUCUUCUACGGUGCCUACCCCUACACCUACGGCGCUUACCCAUACACCGGAUACUAUGGAAGAUAUUUGGGCUACUACUAGAAAUGAGAAAUUGGUCAAUCAUGUUGGAAAAUAUUUUGGACAAAAUUGAAGUAGAUAAAUAAAACGGUUUUCUUAAUUCAA